CCCUUAUUCUAUAUUCCGCCGACCAGCUCAAGAAGACAGACUUCUAUAGUGUGUCAGAUUGACAAGCAUGGCUGGAUCAGUUGUUAUGUCCGUGCUUGCACUGGCUUCUGUCCUCAUCCUCCUUUUCACCUCGGAGAGCCGCGGACAAGAACUCAACACGUGGCUCGAUUGCAGCGGAGACGGCGGUAACGAAGUAUAUGUCAGCACCACCCAGGAAACGUGGGUUGCUGGCGAGCAUUUCUGCCAAGGUCAAGGCAGCCAUCUCGCCAGCUUUCCCCAGAUCACGGCAUGCAAGUCAAGUUUACUGCCGUUGCUUGGUCAUGUAAGAGUCCACACCAGCUACACCAAAUUGCUGGAUGGACUUCACUACCGUGAUAUUGGAAACAAACUGCAAUUGUCGGACACCGUUGUCGACUUCAGUCGCGGUGCCGACAAUUGCAGUUUUACGUUUCUGGGAGACGAAUUACCGCCGGAGGACAAUCAGUGCUCAU